ACUCCAACAAUGAUGGUCUAGAGAGACAAAACGAAGUAGGUUUUGGUUCCGCACUCAUCCAAACACAAAUCCGAGACACACCAACUCUAGCACGACCCCGAGCACCUCCGAACCAAUCUCCAAUCACCCAAAGUCAGCUCGGGCGUUCUGUUGCUCCGCCAUCUUCUCCGAUUUUUUCAAAACCAUUUUUUACUUUCUCGGAUAGAUUCAAGGUAUAGAAGAUAGAACUGAAGGAUCAUAUCAACUCGAAGACAGCCUCUAGAAGAAUCAAUCGUAUCUAGAUCUAGCAAAGCACCUGUGUGGUUACUAAGAAAACACUUAUUACAAAAUGUGGAAGCUAAAGAUUGCUGAAGGCAAGGGACCAUAUUUGUUUAGCACCAACAACUACGUUG